CUUGAACGCUGGCGGCAGGCCUAACACAUGCAAGUCGAACAAGUGGCGGACGGGUGAGAAAUGUCUGGGAAACUGCCUGAUGGAGGGGGAUAACUACUGGUCACGGUAGCUAAAACCGCAUACCAUCGGAUGUGCCCAGAUUGGAUUAGCUAGUAGGUGGGGUAAAGGCUCACCUAGGCGACGAUCCCUAGCUGGUCUGAGAGGAGGCACAGCCACACUGGAACUGAGACACGGUCCAGACUCCUACGGGAGGCAGCAGUGGGGAAUAUGGGACAAUGGGCGGAAGACUGAUGCAGCCAUGCCGCGUGUAUGAAGAAGGCCUUCGGGUUGUAAAGUACUUUCAGCGGGAAGGCGUUACCCGCAGAAGAAGCACCGGCUAACUCCGUGCCAGCAGCCGCGGUAAUAC
rnacentral:rRNA from 1 species